UUUUUUUUUUUAAAGUUUACUGUGAUAUUUUUAAACUUGUAUAAUAUAUCAAUUGGUUUAGUUGAACUAAAUAGUAACGACAUGAGAGAAUGUUUUUUACUCAGUUAUGUCGGAUCUUGAUGAAAAAAAAAGAAUAGAGAAUAGUGAACCAUUUAUAUAAAUAAACAAAUAUAAAAAAAUGGCUAAAAUCAAUGCAGAAAUGUAUGACUCCAACCCAGACCCUCAUAAAUCAAUAUUACAAGGAAUAUUAAAGAACCUUAGUGAGCACGCUCACAUACCCCAUGUCCCCAC
rnacentral:lncRNA from 1 species